AAUCGAUUCCGUGGUGAUUUGCGGCAUAUUGCAGCCACGUAAAAGAAGUCGCUAAAAGGCCCGCUCCGGCGCUGC
rnacentral:ncRNA from 2 species